rnacentral:rRNA from 1 species
GACGAACGCUGGCGGCGUGCUUAACACAUGCAAGUCGAACGGAAAGGCCCUGCUUUUGUGGGGUGCUCGAGUGGCGAACGGGUGAGUAACACGUGAGUAACCUGCCCUUGACUUUGGGAUAACUUCAGGAAACUGGGGCUAAUACCGGAUAGGAGCUCCUGCUGCAUGGUGGGGGUUGGAAAGUUUCGGCGGUUGGGGAUGGACUCGCGGCUUAUCAGCUUGUUGGUGGGGUAGUGGCUUACCAAGGCUUUGACGGGUAGCCGGCCUGAGAGGGUGACCGGACACAUUGGGACUGAGAUACGGCCCAGACUCCUACGGGAGGCAGCAGUGGGGAAUAUUGCACAAUGGGCGGAAGCCUUAUGCAGCAACGCCGCGUGCUGGAUGACGGCCUUCGGGUUGUAAACCGCUUUCGCCUGUGACGAAGCGUGAGUGACGGUAAUGGGUAAAGAAGCACCGGCUAACUACGUG